rnacentral:lncRNA from 1 species
UUUUCUCUUCUACUCCUCUGUUCUAUGUUCACUCCUAAUUCAUGCUUAAAGGAGCUUCUUGAAUUCUGGAACAUAUGUCACUUAAUUUGUAUACUUAUAUCUUAAGGAUUGUGUCCUUAUCACGCCUCAACCGUUUUUGAGCGAAAAUAUUGCAAACGCAUAUCUUCUUCCUUACAGUCUUAGAACAUUGGAGGAAGCUGUUAAUUGCUUUCUUCAAAAAUUCUUCUUGAUUUCCAAUAAUUAUAUUCUCAUCCAGUUCCCGCCUUGUACUGAUUCUGCUUUAUUUCCUCAAUAAGGAAUAUCUUCGACAAGAGCCCUCAAUUUGUUAUUGCGAACUUGUCCUAUAAUAAUGUGUUCAAAAAAUAAACGUUGUUUGAUUUCUAGGUUCUGUGAGGUAUGUUUUUCUCCUUGACAAUUUCUCCAUAUCACUCUGCAUUUUAGACAUCCAAAACUUACCAACUCAAUUUUUUUUUUUUUGGUUUGCUAACAUACAAGCUAAAUAAGGUACAACUCAAAUAUCCACAAAUGUAGAAAUAUACUAGUGUCAAGCUGGAAUUGACUCUCAUGAAAUGCAGGUUUAAAGGCCAACCUGAUGCACCAAGCUCCUGCUAUGUUGGAAUCCACGGAAGGGUCGAACCACAAGGAUCUGUUGUACGCAAUUUUACUUAUAUUUCUGCAAUAGGUUGUUUUCACGACUCGAACCCGUGACCUCUUGGUCACAUGACAAUAACUUUACUAGUUACGCCAAGACUCCCCUUCGAUGAAAUGCAUGUCUAAAUAGAAAAAAAGUUUCAAAUAUUUCGAGUAUGAUCCAGAAGACAUACAAGACGUAGAAGCAGAAUGAUCUUUCCACUUUUUUCACAAACAUCCAGUAUAAUCCAGUGGUAUUAUCACUCUGAAAUGUUAAGUAACAGAAGAGGUAAUCAAUUUCCAGAACUUAUUACGUUAAAUCUCUCUAUAACAGUAUUGCUAUAUAAUAGUAUUUCACUAUAAAAGCUAAAUUUUAUAUGGAACCAAUUUUCAUGCUAUGUUAUAAUAUAUAUUCUAUAUAACAACACUUUGCUAUAACAGCCAAAAAAGAUUCAAAACAGAUAAGACUGCUACAGAGAGGUUUGACAUAAAACAGCUCUGACAAUCUCAAGAAAGGAAGUAUAAGUUUCAAUAAUGUAAAAUAGAUGAAUGAAUUCUAUGUGUUUAGCCUAUACUUGAAACAACAAAGUUCUACAAAGUAUCACUGCUUUUGUGAUUGAAACUCUGUUGCUUUUGUCGCUAAAGCACUUCUUACAGCACAUGCAACACUAUCACCAACACCAGGUUUCAAACAGCUCUGAUUAUGCAAUGAAGAAUCACUCAACUCCUCACAAAAUGCUGAAAAAUCAUCCCUUGAUAAUAACAUAUUAUGAAGUAUUGAACAAGCACCAAUAAAAGCCACUGCAGCUUUAACUUCUCCCUCAAUUGGUUCAUUCAAAACACCCCAAUUUCUCAAACUCUGAAUAGCCUUAAGUCCUCGCGAGCGAAUUAAAUUAAGUGAAUUGUUGAAAUUCUCUUUAUUUGAUUGAGAAACAGGAUCAUCAAAUGGUAGCAUUAACCAAGGUAACAAAGCGAAGUUUCCAUCACCAAUGAAAAACUGAGGCACAACUACACCGUUUAUAUGCAAAGCUUGUGAAUUCAAUAUUGUUCCUUUUGAAAUAUCUUGGAAUAAUGUUGAUGACUUUAGGACUUGAAAAUCAUUCUUAUCUCCACGAAAACCUGCUAUAAUACUAAGAAUUCUUGACGAUGAAUCAACUACUAAUUGAGCUGCUACGUUUUCAUUAUUAAUCUUGAAUCUUACACAACUGAGGACUCCACAGCAAUUGGGCAGGCCCGAAAUGGAUUCGAACUGAGUCGAAACGGAUUCAAGCUCACGCGAGUUCGGAAACCCAACCCAGAAACGGUAGUUAGUACAAAGCACCCUACACAAUUGUUUGG